UAGAGUUUGAUCCUGGCUCAGAUUGAACGCUGGCGGCAGGCCUAACACAUGCAAGUCGAGCGGUAACAGAAAGUAGCUUGCUACUUUGCUGACGAGCGGCGGACGGGUGAGUAAUGCUUGGGAACAUGCCUUGAGGUGGGGGACAACAGUUGGAAACGACUGCUAAUACCGCAUAAUGUCUACGGACCAAAGGGGGCUUCGGCUCUCGCCUUUAGAUUGGCCCAAGUGGGAUUAGCUAGUUGGUGAGGUAAUGGCUCACCAAGGCGACGAUCCCUAGCUGGUUUGAGAGGAUGAUCAGCCACACUGGGACUGAGACACGGCCCAGACUCCUACGGGAGGCAGCAGUGGGGAAUAUUGCACAAUGGGCGCAAGCCUGAUGCAGCCAUGCCGCGUGUGUGAAGAAGGCCUUCGGGUUGUAAAGCACUUUCAGUCAGGAGGAAAGGUUAACGGUUAAUACCCGUUAGCUGUGACGUUACUGACAGAAGAAGCACCGGCUAACUCCGUGCCAGCAGCCGCGGUAAUACGGAGGGUGCGAGCGUUAAUCGGAAUUACUGGGCGUAAAGCGUACGCAGGCGGUUUGUUAAGCGAGAUGUGAAAGCCCUGGGCUCAACCUGGGAACUGCAUUUCGAACUGGCAAACUAGAGUGUGAUAGAGGGUGGUAGAAUUUCAGGUGUAGCGGUGAAAUGCGUAGAGAUCUGAAGGAAUACCGAUGGCGAAGGCAGCCACCUGGGUCAACACUGACGCUCAUGUACGAAAGCGUGGGGGAGCAAACGGGAUU
rnacentral:rRNA from 1 species